CAAGACCUCAUAAACUGAACGAGUGUCUUUAAUCCCUCCAUUAAUCUAUCAACCACGAUCUGGAUGCAAUGCGAUAUUUGAUGUCCGAUGCGUUUGAGACGACUAUAAGAAGGUAUCUUCUGUUCUUCUCAGAUACUACAUCACUUUCGUUCUAAAUUCUUCUGAAAAAAAAAAGCCGGUGCUAUGGCUAACGUUUUGGUUCUCCUCUCCGAUCUCCAGUCUGGUGGCUCCUCCUCCACCGUCGAAGUGCGCUUGCUUCGCUUCUGGGAGGCUAGAAACGUCUGCCGUGGUGGAGAACUCAUGGGCGUCGACAUGCUCUUGCUCGACUCUCAGGUUAUGUUUUAGAUCUGCCAUUGGUUUUGUUUUUCCGAUAGAAUCUGUACACGUACCCGCCCUCUCGAAUCCAUAUUAAAAGCACGGCGAUCAAAUUUUUAGUUCUUGCUGAUUAUGAUCUAAAUAUUUAAUUAAUCGUUUCACAACUUCACUGCCUUGAGUUUACAUUUGUUAGAUUUAUUGAUGUAAGAUUUGCUAGAUAAUUAUAUGAGGUUUGUCAGUUUCUUCACGUCGGCUUUUAUUGAUAAUUUUAUAAGAUUUGUUGGAUAAUAAUUUUUAGUUUUCGCUGAUUAUGAUUUAAAUAUUUAAUUACUCGGUUCACAACUCCACUGCCUUGAGUUUACAUUUGUUAGAUUUAUAGAUGUAAUAUUUGUUAGAUAAUUAUAUGAGGUUUGUCAGUUUCUUCACGUCGGCUUUUAUUGAUAAUUGUAUAAGAUUUGUUAGAUAAUUAUAUGAUAUUUGUUAGAUGUCCUCGCGUCAGAUUUGAUAGAUAUUUAUAUGUUAAAUCGAUUCUGUGGCGCUUUCGUUCUGCUCACCGUUUUUUUGUUAAUCAUAGUUGUGUUUUGUUUCAUUUUCAGUCAACCAUGAUGCCGGCUACCGUUAAUGUUAACCGAUUUUGAAGUCACACGUUGUAACCAGAAUUAUCGCCUGUCAGACUCUUCUCUACUAAUCCGGUUUACCGACUCCACCUCUUUCAAGAAGGUCGCCGAACCAGCCGUUCCGAUACCUCUUGAAUCAUUCCUGUUCCGUAACUACAGUGAGAUGCUUGGUCUUGCUAACUCCAACAAUCAAUUACCGGGUAAUGCUCCUCUUAUUAUCUCUUCUGAUUACAUAUAUAAGGAUAUCUGAUAGUCUUUUGCUCACAAAUCUUAUUGGUGAGAUUACUGCUGUCAAGAGUACGGUCACUGACCCUCCUCAGGACAAUAAUCGUGUCAUGGCGACCAUUAGGAUGGAGAAGUAAGUUUUUAUGAGCUUCAGUAUCUUCACAGUUGUUUUGUAUUUCCUAAAUACGUUCAUCUUACUGUUCUGCCUUCCAAUGAUGCAGUGACACAUCUGUGACUAUGAGCCUCUUUGACGCUCAGGCUGUUAAGAUUCAUAAUCAGCUGGAGCAGAUGGGAGUGGAUCCAAGGGUUGUCGUUGCAACCAGUGUGAACCCGAAGAUUGUGGGAGGUAAGCAACCAGUGUGAUACAAACAUGUCUAGCCCUGAAAUGAUGUCGAUAUCAUUCAUACUCGACUUAUAAUGCAGGGCGUCUGUUUUUGAACGCCACAUCCGGCACACACAUCUAUUUCGACAAGCAAACAGAUGCAGGGGAACAAUUGUUUUACAGGUAUCAUUUUGCGUGUCAUUGCUUUUAAACAUCCUGAUUAUAGUAUUUCCGAACUGUGCAUGGGAGUGCCUAAGGACAUUGUUAUCUUCGUAAACAGGUUGGUUGAGCAAGACACUGGGCUCCCGCCAGUAGCUCCGCUGCUAAAGAGUUAUGCUAAGGUGGAGAAGCUGAGUAUAUCUGAGCUCAAUGAUUUUGUCGUCACUGCUACGUCUCAGGUUCGUUAGCAUGAUUGUCAUGUCCUUUAUCAAAUGUGAUUUAUCAUUCCUAAUCCGACUUUAUAACAAUGCAGGAAAUUGAUUUCAUUUGUGCCGGAAAGGUGACUGGAGUCAAAUUGGACAAGGGGUGGUGCUAUGUUUCCUGUUCAAAAUGUUUCAAGAAACUCCAACGGUCUGUCUCAUCUCUCACGUGUCUGUCUUGCAACACCACCAGUGCAGUUGGUUUUUCGGUAUGUACUGACCCUAAGCAGCUUAAUCAUCUACGUUUAACUAACUGUGUGAUUUGAAAAUUUUAUAUGCACUAGAUACCGUGUCGAGAUGUCAAUCGCAGACGAGACUGGUGAGGGUUUGUUUGUUGCCUUUGAUGGAGUUAUUGCGAAGCUCCAUAACAUGAGGGCCCAUGAAGCUGCCAACCUCUUGGCUGGUGAUGAUGUCAACCCCGAAGAAACUGAUGCUCCUCCGUUUGUUCGAGACAUGGAAGGAAAGUCAUACACGUUUCAGGUGAAGGUGGGCCCAUACAAUUUCACAGCAAAUCAUCAAAGCUUUACCAUCUCACGCAUUCUCGGCGAGGGUGAACGUGCGCCACAGCCUGAGUUCGUUGAAGAUGUAUUACUCUUAUAUUCUCCACUACCGUUUCUGCUUUGUAUAAAUUUAACGUUUUCAUUCGAUAGGGUGGUGACGAUGACAAUGGAGAUGACAACAACGGUGCUAGCUUGGUGAGACGUAAGAUGGAGGGUGGUGGAUGUAGCAAGUCCGCAGGACCAUCUGCUAAGUCUAAGAAGGCACGGAAGGCAUAAGUGGGAAGGCAGAUAUCCCUUCUCAAUAAUAAUAAAGUUUUUUUUCUCUUAUGGACAAGUAUGCAUUUGGUAUUUCCGUAUUUAUUAUUUCAUGUUUUGUGAUAGCUUAUAAUUUUAUCUACAAUUAUUAAAAAUCGAAUUAUUUUGCAAAAAUGAUAUUGUUUAUUUUCUUUGGGAAUAAUCCAGCUAGCAUUACAUAACAUCAACUUACAAUAUAAUAUUUUUAUUUGCUUAUUCGUUUUCAUUAUGUGAAUUUAGUAUAUUUGUCCACUUAUUACCUUCAUGGUGAUUAGCAUGUUCCUAUAAAAAAAAUCAAACAAAUAGAUCAUUGUUUUGGCGGUGGUUUCUUUGCGUUACUGAGUUCAUAAAGUACAAGCGCUCCUGACAAUAUAUAUUGUUUAUUUUCUCUUUAUUGACAUUUGAGUUGUUUCUUUGUAACAAGUAUCCAUUACGAAGUUCCCUUCUACUUCGUAUUAUUCGAUUUUAAGUUAUGUGCUAUCUUAUGGCUUUAGCUAUAUUUAUAAAAGAUCUAAUUAUUUUGGCAGAAAUGUUAACAUCAAUCACUUGGUUGAUCACCGAACCGAGAUUGAUAUUGUAAACAUAUGUUCCUUUUUAAUAUUAUAUCUCAUGAGUCAUCUCUAAUCUGACUUUUUUAUGAUGCAAGAAGUUCUUGGGCUCCUUCUGCAAGGUGUAGUUGCUUCCAAAAUUUCUGCUCAACUCUUACCUUGGUCAUAUGCUGGAGGAUAUUUGGAUAUCUUCCUCCAUUCAUUAAGAAACAGCUACUUCUCCAUCUUCAGCCUCAUGAUGCUGCUCAGCUAUCCCAUGUAAGAAUAAGAAAAAUAUGGUAUCUGUCAUCUUUUUAAUGUAGGAGAUGACGAGUCCCACAUCAAAUGGUACUUUAGAAGUUAUAGAAAGCAACAAAAUUGAGUCAAUGCCAAAGUUUUCAUGGUGAGUCUAAUGAAGGUUGUUAUAGCACGGUUGAUAAAUGGUGGUAGGGUCAUGGUGAGGGCAGAGACUGAAUGGCAAGGAGCUGGUGUGGUCACGGCUUGGCAGUGAUGGCUGUAUGACUUAAAAAAAACACAGAUCAAAGCAGAUGAGAGAAGAGAAGGAAUCAUAGGUAAGGAAGAGAAGGGAGAAGAUAGUUUGAAGAUAGGUUUUUGCGUAUACAUAAAGAUAAGUUACUUUUUUGGUUUAGCUGCAAUUUGGUUCAGUAUUUGUUUUUGUCGACUAAUUAUUUGAUAGUAACGUAGAACUAAAAUAAAAGUUCUGCUAGAUAUGUAACUUUAUUAUUAUAAAUGUAUUUAUUUAUGAAAAUAUUUUUAAUUAUUAUAAGACAAAUUUUCAACAGAUAAGAGUACAUAACAAUAUUUUAUGUUGUGUAUGCUUUUUCAAAAUAUAUUAUAUAUAUUUAGACCAAAAACUAUAUAUUAUAUUUUGAAUUUUUACAACCUUAACCAGACGCAAGGUCUAUGUGCAAUGGUACGAGAAUGAUGGUCAUGCUAACAUGGUUCUUGAAGCUGAGAUCAUGACUGGUACAGAGGUUGGUGAUUAUUGAACCUAAAAACAACAAUAAAAACUCGAAUAAUAAUACACUGAAACUGAAUAAUAAAAUUUUAUUAAAAAUACAGGUACAUUCAAUAUAAACAAAAUAAAAAUUAAUCAAUAUUUUGAUUAUUGAACCUAAAAACAACAAUAAAAACUCGAAUAAUACUUACUAUGUAUAAAAAAAUUGAACAAACAUUUAAUAAAUGUAUACCAUUUCAAUCAUUAAAAUCGUAUCAUGUUAAUACAACUUUAUAAUCUCUAAUAAGAAUAAUGAAAAAAUAAAGAAAAAUUUAGACAUAUGCGAAGAUAAUGUAAAAUGUGUUUACAUUAUAAAGAAAUUUAAUAAAAAGAGAAAGAUAAUAACUAAAAUAGUAUUAUGUAAUUAAAAUAUAUUUGAGAACAAAUAAAAAUACAAAAAUAAGCAAACAUCAAACAUUAACUAAAAUAGAUAUAAUAUCCUUCAUCACUUAAAAUGUCAUAUUCGCCUAAAACACUAAAACACAACCACCAAAACAAAAAAAAAUAAAUACUAUUAUACACAUCUCUUGCAAAUUCAAACUUAAAACACUAACCACCAAAUCAAACAAAAAAUAAAAAUCGAAAUCACAAAUAAAGUAUACCCCGCCCGUAGGGCGGGCCUAUCCUAGUAACCCAUAAGAGGAUUAGAUUUCCCUUAUCCCCCAUUAUGUGAUUGGGAAAUGUAGAGUAAAUAAAUGGGAAAGAAUAUAGUAAAAAAGAGAGGAAAAAUAAAACUGAGAGGGAGAGUAAACUAGAGUAAAUACAUUUACUUUUGCUUGAGUUGGAGUAAAUUUAUUAGUGUGUUUUACUCUCUUUUAAAUUUUUAACAGUAACUACAGAUAAGAGGAAGAAAGAUGUUUUUACUUGAUUGGUAAGAUUUUGGAGUAAGUAGGAGGAGUAACUGAUAUUUUCUUUCCAUAAAUAGUCAAAGGGGUUUAACCAAAAAAAAAAAAGCCCAAGGGGAAGGAUCAAGAAAAGUCAACGAGUGCACAUAUAAACAAGAACGUACUAACUAACGUAUGUUAACAUUAAUUUGACAUUUUUCCGUUGAACAAAGAGCGAAGAUAACUAGAAGUCCUUUAAAAUUCACCCGUGUCCCGUAAACUUUGUUAGUAUAAUUGGUUGUAAAACUUUUGAAAAUAUAUAUCUUCCAUUAAAAAGAAAAAAAAAAGAUAACUCGAUCUCUUUAGUUAAGAUGGAAAAUAGUGUAUUUUCAGCGUUAGUUUGUGCUCUGUGACAUGGAAACGACAUUGCAUUUAACAUCAUUUAUCAUAUUAGGGCAUCUCCAUCCUAUUUUAUUUUUUUCUCUAAAAUAGAAUAAAAAUGAAUAUGAAAUAAGAAAUGAUCCAACCCAACUUCAUAUCUCAAUUACUUUUUGUUUGUUCAUAUGGAGUGGAAAAUGGAAUAAGGUUCCAUCAAUUUUACUCAAUUUUCACUUUUACUCUAUUUUGAAAAAAAAAAUAGAAUUUUACAUUAGAGAUAUAUUACAUGUUCAAAUAAAUGAACAAAAAAGUAAAAAUGCUUCUACCAUCAAAUAAAAUAAUCAAAUCUAUAACUAAAAUCAAAGCUUGAAAUUUUGAAAACAAAAAUAUGAAACAAAACAGAAAUAUGAAAGAAACGUUUUUUCACUCUUCCCUAUUUAUUGUUCAUUAAAGUCAAGCUUUUUCAAUUGAACACAAAACUCUGUUUUGUUUACAAAUAAGAAAAAAAUUGUAAAAAUUUUCCAUUAAUUAUUGUCCAUCAAAUUUAUAAUCUUCAUAUUAAUUUAGUGAACACUAAAAUAAAACAAAAAGUUCAAAAGAAGACUUAGAAAAUAAGAU